GGGAAAGCGAGGACUGCUGGGAAGUGUAGUGUACAGGAGAAAGAAUAAGAAAAAGUCCAGGGAGACAUCAGGAGGUAGGUGGUGCAACAAGGAGAACUGAGACAUGCCAGAGAGCCUAGAUAAAAACAGGAAGUUCAGAUCAGUCGGACCAGACAAGAUCAGGACUGCAGUUACAGGGAAUAUACAGCUCCAUUUCAUCCAUCUUCAAAUGGACAACCAGAGCACAUGGUUCAGACUACUAAAGACGCUUUAAAGAGAAUUGUUAUAGGAGAUUGGAAUUACAGACUGGCAAAUUAUCUACUACAACAAGAUGUGACCCCAUGCUCCAGUACACGAUGCAGCCCUGCAGAACCACUGAUGAACAGGAGGAUCAGGACCUUAUUGGACAGAUUUCAUCCUGAUCUCACAUCUGAAUUGCAAAACAAGCAGGAUGUCAGACUGUCUAAAAAAUACAACUCCUCAUCCAUGCAGUGUUUUCAGGAGGGGGAUAGUGUCUAUGCCAGAAACUAUGCAAUGGGACCAAGAUGGACUCCAGCAACUGUAGUGAAAACUGCAGGAUCUGUGUCCUACAAAGUAAGAACUACUUAUGGCCACAUUCUAAGGCGGCACAUAGACCAACUAAGAAACAGAGUAGACGAAUGUAUAUUACCUGCUACUGAAAGUGAUCCAAACCCUAAGGCACCGACAGUUCAGACUGAUGACCUACAUCCCCUGAUAUUAAAUAAGGCAGUAAUAUAAUCCGGCAUUAUUUGUGAAGAUAAAGAGGAAGCCAAGAUGACUAGAUGGAGACAGAUAAGCAGCAGCUUAUCUCCUAUGGCAACAGCAGGUUAGCCUUGCAAAGGAUGAUGUAUAAACCACUAAGAAAGA